UACGUAGGGUGCGAGCGUUAAUCGGAAUUACUGGGCGUAAAGCGUGCGCAGGCGGUGAUGUAAGACAGAUGUGAAAUCCCCGGGCUCAACCUGGGAACUGCAUUUGUGACUGCAUCGCUGGAGUGCGGCAGAGGGGGAUGGAAUUCCGCGUGUAGCAGUGGAAUGCGUAGAUAUGCGGAGGAACACCGAUGGCGAAGGCAAUCCCCUGGGCCUGCACUGACGCUCAUGCACGAAAGCGUGGGGAGCAAACAGG
rnacentral:rRNA from 1 species